AACCAGCACCUCAAGUGGUCAGGAUGAUUAUUGGGCCUAAAGCAUCCGUAGCCUGUUCUAUAAGUCUCCGGUUAAAUCCAUCAACUCAAGUGAUGGGCUGCCGGAGAUACUGCAGAACUAGGGAAUGGGAGAGGUAGACGGUACUCGGUAGGAAGGGGUAACAUCCUUUGAUCUAUUGAUGACCACCUGUGGCGAAGGCGGUCUACCAGAACACGUUCGACGGUGAGGGAUGAAAGCUGGGGGAGCAAACCGG
rnacentral:rRNA from 1 species